rnacentral:rRNA from 1 species
GGGCUGCAGUAUAUUGACUGUACAAAGGUAGCAUAAUCAUUAGUCAUUUAAUUGAUGACUUGUAUGAAAGAUUGGAUGAAAUAUAAACUGUCUCUUUAUUAUUUAUAGAAUUUAAUUUUUUAAUUAAAAAGUUAAAAUAAUUUAAAAAGACGAGAAGACCCUAUAGAGUUUUAUAUAUAAAUUAAUUAAGAUUAUAUAUAAAUUUUUUAAUUAAAAUUAUUUUAUAUAUUUUGUUGGGGUGACAAAAAAAUAAAAUUAACUUUUUUUAAAAAUAAACAUAUAUAAGUGAUUUGAUGAUCCAAUAUUAUUGAUUAUAAGAAAAAAUUACCUUAGGGAUAACAGCGUAAUUUUUUUUUUUAGUUCAAAUAAAAAAAAGAGUUUGCGACCUCGAUGUUGGAUUAAGAUAAAAUUUAAAUG